AUGCCAUGAUGAGGAUAGCCCAGGAUGUAUUCCUACAGCCUUUCUCAAGCUUCUGGGAUGGAUUCCAUACCUGUCUGCUGGAAACUUGAUAUUCUUCCGCACAGGGCAU